rnacentral:rRNA from 1 species
CAGCAGCCGCGGGAAUACGAAGGGGGCUAGCGUUGUUCGGAUUUACUGGGCGUAAGGGGCGCGUAGGCGGAUUGAUAAGUCAGGGGUGAAAUCCCAAGGCUCAACCUUGGAACUGCCUUUGAUACUGUUUGUCUUGAGUUCGAGAGAGGUAAGUGGAACUGCGAGUGUAGAGGUGAAAUUCGUAGAUAUUCGCAAGAACACCAGUGGCGAAGGCGGCUUACUGGCUCGAAACUGACGCUGAGGCGCGAAAGCGUGGGGAGCAAACAGGAUUAGAUACCCCUGUAGUCCCUGUCUCUUAUAC